UACGUAGGGGGCAAGCGUUGUCCGGAUUUAUUGGGCGUAAAGAGCGUGUAGGCGGCCUGAAAGGUCAGCUGUGAAAACUCGGGGCUCAACCCCGAGACGUCGGUUGAAACCAUUUGGCUAGAGUCCGGAAGAGGAGAGUGGAAUUCCUGGUGUAGCGGUGAAAUGCGCAGAUAUCAGGAAGAACACCCGUGGCUAAGGCGGCUCUCUAGUACGGUACUGACGCUGAGACGCGAAAGCGUGGGGAGCGAACAGG
rnacentral:rRNA from 1 species